rnacentral:rRNA from 1 species
GUGCCAGCAGCCGCGGUAAUACGAAGGGGGCUAGCGUUGCUCGGAAUUACUGGGCGUAAAGGGAGCGUAGGCGGAUAGUUUAGUCAGAGGUGAAAGCCCAGGGCUCAACCUUGGAAUUGCCUUUGAUACUGGCUAUCUUGAGUACGGAAGAGGUAUGUGGAACUCCGAGUGUAGAGGUGAAAUUCGUAGAUAUUCGGAAGAACACCAGUGGCGAAGGCGACAUACUGGUCCGUUACUGACGCUGAGGCUCGAAAGCGUGGGGAGCAAACAGGAUUAGAAACCCUCGUAGUCC